GUGUCAGCCGCCGCGGUAAGACGAACCGAGCGAACGUUAUUCGGAAUCACUGGGCUUAAAGGGCGCGUAGGCGGACUGCCAAGUCAGGGGUGAAAGCCCGCGGCUCAACCGCGGAAGUGCCUUUGAUACUGGCGGUCUCGAGGGAGGUAGGGGCGUGCGGAACUUCCGGUGGAGCGGUGAAAUGCGUAGAUAUCGGAAGGAACACCGGUGGCGAAAGCGGCGCGCUGGACCUCUUCUGACGCUGAGGCGCGAAAGCCAGGGGAGCGAACGGGAUUAGAAACCCGAGUAGUCC
rnacentral:rRNA from 1 species